UGUGGUGGGGUCCGUGAAAUGAGGAGGGUGGUGAGGCAUCUAAUCAAGUUGAGAGGCAUCAGCGUCCCAUUUGCUGAGGAGGCAUUCGGAGCCAGGGCCUAGGGUGAUAGCAUAUAGCUGAUGUAUCUCGGCAGCUAUAGCCGUUUGAUUAGUUGAAUCAGAGGGCUAAUUGGAACCGAGAUGUCAGUCGUCUGCGGUUGUCCUCCCGGUUGACUACAGUUCCUUGUAGCUAGGUAUAGCCCGUUGGAAGCAAUCAUGCAAAUCUGCUGUCUCAACGUCUCUUGAUGUGUUUAAUUUCACAUCAAUUAUAGCCUAUACGCAAGAUAAAUUUCAAAAAAUUAUACGAAAUUAAAAAUUUAAAUAAUAUUUUUAAUUAAUUUUUUGGAUAAACUUUUAUACUAUGACACGACACUUAUUAAUUUUAUUGGCCGAUAAAAAUUAUGAGUCAUUGCAAGCUAGCUAGAAUGUCCUCCAGAUGUGACAAUUAAUAUAACCAGUAAGGGGGUGCAAAUAGGUAAGGUUCAUAUAUAACCUAGAUCUAAUCCAAAAAAUUCGAGUUUGAGUCGGGUCCAAUUCGGAUCAACCCAUCUAUGACUUCAGAACUUAUUUGAACCCUCUCGGACUGUAGCAUGCGAGUCAAAAUAAUUUUACAAAUUCGAGUCAGAUCGGGUCGGAUCGAGUUAUAGGAUUGAAAAUCCAAAAUUACUCAAAUUUUAAAUGGGUCAGAUUGGUUUGAGUCUAAUCUGAGUUCAAUAAAUCCAGACCCAACCUAGAAAAUGAAACAGAUCCAAUUUUAGGACUCGACCCCGCCCCACGGUCAUCCAAAAUGGAUCGGGUCGGAUUUAAGUGAGUUGGGUCCAGUAACAGAUUAACCUGGCUCAUUUGCAGCCUUAGUAGUAACCAUGGGAAGCAAGAAGGUUAUUCUAUAGUUGAUUCUAUCUAUUUUUUAUGCAUUUCUGAGUUAUUGGAGUAACUAGAGCUGACUAGUUAUGCACGAAAAAUUAUUUCAAUUGCUUGGCAUUUACAAUAGGAAGAAAUGCUUGCAUAAAAUGAACAUGCCAGAUGUUCAGAUGAUAUAUCUG
rnacentral:lncRNA from 1 species